GUUGCUCCCUAACAAAUCACCCACUGAUUCUGAAAUGCAUUGCAAGCUGCCAGAGCAGUUUUCUUUCUAAGAAAUAGACUCUUUCAAUUUGUGUUUACAAGAAGAAAAGCUUCUUGUUCAGGGCUGCGGUGUGGCUGUUUUUCUGCCCAUCAUCUGAAACAACAAAGCAGGGGCUUGUCAGUGAGACUCUACUGAAUGGAGGUAGCAUGUUGCACCCAAGAAGGGGUCUCAUUCUAGUCAGUCUGCUUGUGGGAGGACAGGCCACUGAAGGAUUCAUCUGGAAGCUCUCUCAUGAAUCUUGAUUGUGUCAGACCAGUAGCCAGUAUUCUUUUGAAGAGCAGACCUUGACAGCUGAAUUUCAGGCUGGUAAGUAAUGUAGUAAUGUUGACUUACAGCUGUACUAAAUGGAAACAACAUACCCUCCAAUCCUCAUCAGUGGUACAGCUGAGAGCAGGUGA
rnacentral:lncRNA from 12 species